AAUAAAAUCCAAACUGGGUCAGCAGUUUUAAUCAAAAAAUGCAAUUUUAUGGUUUAUUUAACAGCAUCAGAUUUUUGUCACAUUAUCGUCAUGCAGUUGUGCACACUGUCCUAUUCAGUAUGACAUUCAGCACACAUGUGCUUAUCUUUUUGUCAACAGAAGACUGGUUGUGCAAGAGCUCCUUUUGUCACACUUUGAACUUAGUGGAAAUGGAUGAUCAAAGUAGACGGCUCAGAGGCCAAAGCAGAUGAGCUCAACUAAUGGAAUUAAAAGGAACAGAGUCUUGUUCUAUUUGACACUGACACUGGCUAAGAUGGCUUUUCAGAGAAACAGCUGGUGGUGGAGAGGCUGCACGGCAAUUGGAAUUUUUUCAGACUUGUGUAAAAUGUGGCUGAUUUUGUUUCACUGUGAGUCAGCAGGAUACCAUGUGCUGCUGAAGACAGCAACAGGAGUUUAGAUUUUGGAGUCCCAUCAGCAGAGGACAACUUGCUGUGGGUGUAAACUUUUGCAGUCUGAGUCUUGGCAGUAUCCUCCAUAACCAGGCACACAGCAGUCCUCAAAGCAACACACACAGUAUGGAUGAUACUUCCCACAGUUUUGCCUGAGGGUUAGACUAACCUUUGGUCAAACCAUCCAUGUACUGAAGAGACAAGUGAUCACAUGAUCUGACUCCCAGAAAGCAAGGUGAUAUUUAUCAAUAUCAGCUUUCCUCUGUUCUGUACGGACUAUGGUAUGGACUCAAAUAUUGUAUGAUUUAUACACUUCAGAUUAGUUGCAUACUGUAAGUGGUCCAGUUUUGAAACAGUACCUGGACUUUCAACAGUUUCAUGAUUUCAUGAUUGAACAAUUAAAGAUAACCAUGGAUUCCACCCCCCCAAAAAAGUUUGUUCCUCUUUCAGAAUAAAAACACACUCCCACAUACUGCAUUUAUACUCAAUAUCAAAAUACUUUUACUACCGUGACGAUGAGUAUUUCCACUUGGCUUAUCUUAAGAAUGCAAACAAAAACAUGUAACACCAUAGGAAUUUUCAUCAACAUCAUUGUUUUCUUUAAAAAACAUAUGAGAAGUCCUAAAGCAAGAUUAAAAUCAGACAGUUCAACAAUUACAGUAAAGUUUAUAGUAAUACACAAUAUUACACACUGACCUGGGCUUUUGCACAUCUCAAAGUGCCAAAUACAUGGUGGAAGAGAGCUGUAAUAUUCCUCUAAUACCCUUAAAGAAGAGAAAACACUUGUAGUUCUGAAAGAUGUGACAUAACAAGGUCAUUUGUAUAACAUUUGUUUCAGAGU